GUGGGUAUAGCUCAGUGGUGGAGCUCGUGCUUAGCAUGCACAAGGUCCUGGGUUCCAUACCUAGUACCUACA
rnacentral:tRNA from 1 species